GAUGGAGAAAGGUGGUAUUCCAACGAUAGAUCUGCAAGAUUUUCCAGGACAGUUUGAGCGACUGAGAAAAGCAUGCGAGGAGUGGGGUUGUUUCAGAAUUGUGAACCACAAUAUACCCUCAGCUCUCAUGUCGGAGAUGAAGAACGUUGUGAGAUCUCUGCUAGACCUUCCCAUGGAAAUCAAGAGGCGCAACACAGAUGUAAUAUCAGGCAGCGGCUAUGUAGCACCCUCCCAGACCAAUCCUCUUUACGAGGCCUUGGGUCUUUAUGACUUGGGCUCUUCCCAAGCUGUGCAUACCUUCUGCUCCCAGUUGGAUGCCUCUCCUCAUCAAAGAGAGGUCAUAGAGAUGUAUGCUAAAGCAGUUCAUGAGCUGUCCAUGGAUUUAGCUGGGAAGUUGGCUCAAAGCAUGGGAUUGAUUAGAACUGAUUUGUUUGAGGGAUGGCCUUGCCAAUUUAGGAUCAACAAGUAUAACUUCACUCCUGAAACUGUAG
rnacentral:misc_RNA from 1 species